UCCUUAAAGCAACAAGCGACAAGGAGCCUGGGUCCCUGAGUGACUUCGAGAAGCAGAGCCCCCAUUCCCCAGACUUAACUGGGCUGCCGUGGGAAAGAGAAAGAAACCUGCCUUGCUUCUGUCGCUGGUCUGUGAAGGAAGCCGAACCAGCAACCUAACAAGCGGGCCUAUCUGACCUCUGCAUGCUUGUAUCCCCCGCCCCCCCCCCCCCCUCGCUCCAUGACUGCUGUGCUCCAGCCAAAGUAAUCAUUCACCCUCAAGCCUCCCCCCACAGAACCGCCAGCCUUCUUCUGGCCCAUGGGUUCUCUCUGGGACUCUGCUCACACAUCACCUCCUCUCUGACGAGUCUCCAGCCUCUGCAGGCAGAGGGAAAUCGGCCCUCCAAGUGUGCUGCUAGGGCACUUGUGCAAGCCGCACUGCUGGCCCCUUGCGAUUCCACGUUGGUCCAUGCCGGGAAAGGAGCCCCGUCAGUCCUGUCUCUGUAUCCACCUCCCAUGGGUAGACUUUGUGCCCUAUGCAGGGCCUGCUCCACGGUCAAGUCUUGAGGGACAUCGGAAUGAAGAUUUCCCAGCUGCCACACACUGAGCUCCUAGCUUUGUCUUGGGACACGAUGUUCCUUCCUCCUGCAACGGCCGACCCCGUUUGUCCUGCAGGACCCUGCUCCCAUCUGGCUCCUCCAGGAAGCUGCCUAUGGAUCCCUCCGCCCACUCACCCUGGCUGCUUGCCAACGAAGCACGCAUUCCAUGGACCUCCUGGCCUGGGUCUCUCCCUCCAGAUAACAUUCUGUUAAUGUGUAACACAGAAGGCAUGGGCUUUCAGUCCUGAAGCCUGACUUCCAAAUGGAAAAGAAGAGAGACGCCAUCCUCUUCGGUGUCAGCGGCGUCAUGCGGGGUCCUGUCCCAAUGCCUCCUUGUCUGUAUGCCAUCUUGAUUCUGUGCUCCUGUCCCAAGUCUGCUGCACCGUCCGUCAGUCUCCCAGACCCCAGAGUGACCCACCUGUGUGUGCCCCCAAGCCCAGGGAACAGCUCGCCUCAAGAACUCUGCCGGAAGUGCGGCUUCUGAGAGACUGCAGGGCUUUCCUCUGUUGGAUCGGGAAAACGUGGCUACUGGGGGUAUCGUCCUGAUGGCCCCGACUGCACAUCUCAGGUUUACACAGGUUCGAGCACAAGUGAGUGUGAUCUGAUGGUUCAGCUUACUGUUGACUUGACCGGUCCACGGUAGUCUGGGUUCUUGUGCAAGUGUUGUUUUUGGAUGAGAGUAACACUUUAACCAGGAAAGCAGACUGCCCUUCCUGAUAGAGGUAGGCCUUGUCCCACUAGUGGAAGGCCUGAACAGAGGGAAAAUCCUGACCCUUCUGAAUGAGAACUCUCCAGAGACUAUGGUUGACUUCAUCUGCAACAUCGGCUCUUCCUGCCUGCGGCUUCUGAGCAGGUCCCUGGCUCUCCCUGGGUGUCCAGGCUGCCGGCCCACCAGAACUUGCUGGCCUCCAGUUGGUUCUGCUUCUCUGGAAAACCCUAAGACGCAGGACACUCUGUAAAACCUAGAAAGUGAAUUCCAUGUGGCUCUCGUGUAGCACAGAGGUCAGCAGGUAACAUCGGCUAAUACCUCACAAAUGAACUUUAAUCACGGGAAAGAGGAGGAGCUGGUUAAAGCAGAGGUGGGCCAGGGACGCCAGAUUCCCUUGGGCUCCUAGGCCAGCAAGUCUCACAGCUCUCCAGUGUAACUGCCUCCCUCUUCAGAUUCACAGCUAACUUUCCUCCAACUUGCCAUCACUACUUUCUAAACUCCAGUCACCCCCUGCCUCCUGUCUCCCUUGCACCCCAGUGCCUCCACACUGGGCCCACUGGGCGCCUGGCCACCUCAUGUGCCACAUCCUGGGGACACCUUCACUCAUACUGCAGCAACCUUUUCUGUGUCACCAGACCCUCUCCACCUCAGGCCACUCCUUACAAGGGUCCAAGGUCUUAGGCUGGGCCCUGCCAGCAGGGCAACCCCCAGCACCCCAGCUACCGCAUCCCCAUGGCCAGGUCAUCCCCCUGCCAGCACUCACACCGCCUGGGGGCUCACUCUGUCCUGGCACCAUUCCAAGUAGUUCACGCAUAUCAACCAGUGAACCCUCACAGUAACUCCCACACAGUAAUAAUUCUCUUCUCACGUUCCAGUGAGGAAACUGAGGCACCAAGAAAUGAGGAAAAGUUGCCCAUGGUCACAGCUGUAAAUGCAGGAAAAGGAUCACACAGCAGGUGCUCCCAGUCUUCCACGGCUGACUGGGGCUGGUCCCCCAGGGAUCCCUCGUCCCUGUCCUGUGUGGAGCUCUCAAGCAAUGGAAUCCACCCUGCGUCCUGAGCCAGAAACCCACAGGCUCUCCACAAGGUCUCCGUCACCUUACAAUUCAUGGCCAAGGCUGCCCACCGCACUACCAUGGGGACUCACCUUGGUCAGUCUGAGCAGGACAGCCCCCUGCAACCCAUCAUCCACUAAGGGCCUCCUCGUGCCCCACCUAAACCUCACCCACCCACUGGUUUGACUCUCCUCUUCCAUCUCAAGCUUUACCCAAGGUGACCUCCUUGCCAUUCCCAAGUGCCACCCUUGGCUUUCUCCCCUCAGGGUGUCCAUCUUCUCUCUCUGCCCUUACCCCCUCACCACCCCCUACCCUCCCCAAGCCCAUCACCCAACUUCUCUAGUGAGUCCCACUUUUCCUUUCACAGUCACAGGGCAGGUAUGACUCCUUUCAGGAAGCUGUUCCAUCUUCCAGGGCCUGGGAGAAUGGCCAUCACAGCCAUCCUGCGGGCUACCGUGAUCAUCAGCUGAGGCCUCUGUCCCAGGAGGCCUGGGGGUGGGGGAUGGGGGGCUGCAAGGCCCGCUUCAUGCCCAGUGUACCACGCAGGCAGCCCAGCACUCCCCUGGCCCCCUGGGGUUGGGAGCUGGGACAGAGGGCACAGAGACCGUGAAACUGGCUUAAUAUAUGGAUGGGACACACCCCACUGCUGAAUUCUCCCCUCAUUGCCCACGGGAGACAAACGUGAGCCCGCCAGCCUUUGGUUCCAGCCUCAUGAGGUCAAGAGACGGGGAGAAGCCUGCAUGCAGGAGUCCCCUUCCCCUGAUGGGUCUAUUUUAGGUAACUAGGGUCUAUUAUCAAAUUUUAAAAACUGACAUUGGUAAAAUGGGUGUUGCAGCCGGACAGCCUUUUACCACAUGUGUUAAUUCAUGGGACCACUGCCCAAUCAAGACACAGAACCACUCCAUCAACACCAAGAUCUCCCUCCUGUUGCCCCUUAUAGUCACACUCCUCACCCUGCCCUUUCCUCAUGUGAUCCCCAAUCACUGACAACCACUAACUUUUCCAUCUUUAUAAUUUUCGUGUUUGGGGACUGUUACAUGAAUGGAAUAGUGCAUUACUCAGCCUUUUGAAACUUGGGUUUUUUUCCCUCGGAGAUCCAUGCA